rnacentral:lncRNA from 1 species
UCUGUAUGUCUCUCCUCUCACCUCUCAACCUUCAUAUUCCCCCAAUCUGUGUUUAUUUGCCUUAUCAAUAUAUGUACUGUACAUUGUGCAAAACACUAGAAUGUGUCAAGAGAAUGAAAAAAAAAAACCACUAAAUAUCUUUCAGUACGAGUUAUUAUAUCAGCCAGUGACAGCAUGCAACAAUGUGUAAAUCCCUCCCCUUUCCAGAUGCCUCUCCCUCUUUCCUCCCAUCGCUUUCCGCUCCCUUCUCACAACCCAGCUUGUGGAGAGAGACAGAGAGAGAGAGAGAGAGAGAAGAAAGAGAGAGACAGAGAUGUAUGUACUGUAUAUGUAUAUAUGUAUAACAUAAAUAACAUAGCUUUGUUUGUGUGGCCGAGGAUGGUGAUCUGCAAUCUACAGACAUCACCGAGCGUUCCACAUUUCAAUUCCUGCUUUGCACUAGCAUCUGUGUGUCUCACGCCGCGCUCGCGGAUCGGAAUGCUGCACACGUACCCUACCGGACUACGCGAAGGGCUUACAGACCCUCUGCAUGCACGUACUUCCUCGGAAUUCCAAGUUUAUGAAUGAUGAUCGAAAGAUGGACGUUUACACCAACAUGCCUCAUCAGCUUAAGAGAUGAGGGAACUCUCAACAUUUCCAGGUUUUGCUGCUGAAGCUUUUCUUUCUGAGCAAGAGGGAGUGCCUGCUGAGUCAGAACGGCUUCUCGGACAGACAACUCCAUCUGUGAAAGCAAUUGCUGCAGAAUCUUCAAUCCUUUUGUCACAGCUAGCACAGUCGACUUUGACCAUCUUUACAAAUGAAUACCUCACCUCAUCUGCACCUUGGCAGCUUCUUCUGACCCUGAAGACGUGUCGAGCUCGCAAGAUAUCGUUGGUGCAUCUGGAGGGAGUGGGACUCGAUGUGAACCCCCUUCUUUGUCACCGGAGACAUGAUCUGUCGCAGGGGGCGGGGCAGGGUCCAAGACAUCAUUGUGAAAGAUACACUUUUCGUUCGAUCAUUCACAAAAUGGCCACCACGGCCAACUGCUGA